GUGAGUCCAAGGAGAAACCCUAAAUUCUCCAUGAGACCUCGAUUCAGAAAGACCUGGGCCUGGCGUGGUUGAAUCAAAGGGAUUAAAAAAAAGAGAGAUCUUAAAGACAACACACAGUAGCAAAGCGAACACGGACAAGAUGCGUCUUUUGAACAGGGAGCUCUGUUGUUGGAAGCCAGCGUCUCGGUUUUCUGUCUUGGAUUCCCCUGGGAGCCGAAGGCAGCGAGUGGGCAAGACCGCAGUGCUCAAGUCUGGGGCUGCUUUCUGGGUGAGGUAUCAGGACAGCCCUGUGCAGUGGUGCACCAUGGCCCCCCCAGGCCCCCUCCUCGGGUGGAAAUCGGUACAGUAUUAGAUGGCUGUUGGGUCAAGGCACUGUCGUGUACGGCCGGAGGCAGUGGGUCACUGGCAGUGGAGCUCCGUGGCACUAAUACAUCACAGCAGACGCCAGACUGGGCUCCUACGGCGAGACAAUGAGCUCAUGGUCAUCAGCCACUUGGCAAGAGCAAGAAAAGGCAAUUAAAAACGUCUCCUGCUUUUUUUCUUUUUAAAUAGGCUUCGCACCCAACAUGGAGCCCAAUGCAGGGCUUGAACUCAAGACGCUGAGAUCAAGACCUGAGCUGAGAUCAAGAGCUGGAUGCUUAGCCGACUGAGCCACCCAGGGGCAGCUGCUGGCUUUUCUCAGGAGCACAACAAGUAAUUCAGGGCUAAUAAGAGAUUUAAGGAAGAGUGAAUUUGGAUCAAAAACAGGAGAAAGACUCUGGCACCUCAACCAGACCUUAACGUUCCCAUGUACGUAUUUUUACUUCUCUCGGAUCAAACCCCACAAGGAGCUGGAUGUACGGUUGAGAGGACGUAGCCACAUAUCAAAGAGGUGAGCGGUACCGGGCACGGUGCUCAUCACUUCUCACUGCACCCCGCCCCCGCCCGUCUCCCCAGCCAACGGACCAUGAAACCAUCCACGGAGGAUGCUUCCUGGGGCUCUGACGGGGGAGCUGUAGACGGAAGGGCUACAGACUGGAGGCACCAUCGGCAGUGGAAGCGACGGGCACUGAGACAGGGCUGACUUACCAUCAAAUCCUUGGUGGUGCUUUUCCUUUCGUUAGUCCUGUUUGUCAAGGAGCCUUGGAGAAGGAAGUUGCGGUUAAAUGUUUUAAUGGUGGUCACUGAAGACGCCUCGAUGUUUUCGGCUAAAAGGAAACACAUGGAAAUCUAAAUUUCUGGUUUGGCAUCAUUGUAAGCGGCUCCUAAAUCCAGGGAAAGCGUUCAAAAUGCCCAGUGGAUGAGGAUGCCACCCCGGCAUUGCUGGACUCCCUUCUGGGCGGGGUGCUGUGUUAGAUGCCUUCGGUGUCCUGCCCACGUUUCCCUGACAUCACCACACAUUCUGUCAUUCAGCACAUUCCGGAAGCAUGUGACCCCAAGCACCGUCACUCCCUUGGCUCAUGCACGGGGUGGGGCAGAAGUACCAGGGAGCUAAUGCCUCCCCACCCCACCGGAAACUUCAGGGGCUGAGGGCUGACAGCUGAUACCCUCAUCUUCCUGUUCUUUGGGCAGAAAACUCAGGUGCAGUCAAUACUGUCUCCCAGGAAGUCCCCAGCAGGAUUCAGCCUCAUUUGCCCAGAGAAGUAAGCUAUGAACUAAAUUGCACUGUACCGGGGUGCCUGGGUGGCUCAGUCUGACUCCCGAUUUCAGCUCUGGUCAUGAUCUCGCGGUUCAUGAGUUCGAGCCCUGCAUCGGGCUCUGUGCUGACAGUGCGGAGCCUGC